rnacentral:tRNA from 1 species
CAAAGCGUAGCUUAAAUAAAGCCCCUCGCUUACACCGAGACUAUCUCUGUUAAACUCAGAUCGCUUUGA